UACGAAGGGGGCUAGCGUUGUUCGGAAUUACUGGGCGUAAAGCGCACGUAGGCGGACUUGUAAGUCAGGGGUGAAAUCCCGGGGCUCAACCCCGGAACUGCCUUUGAUACUGCGGGUCUUGAGGUCGAGAGAGGUGAGUGGAAUUCCGAGUGUAGAGGUGAAAUUCGUAGAUAUUCGGAGGAACACCAGUGGCGAAGGCGGCUCACUGGCUCGAUACUGACGCUGAGGUGCGAAAGCGUGGGGAGCAAACAGG
rnacentral:rRNA from 1 species